UAACAAUUUCAUUGUAAAUAAUCACAGAAUCAACUAGGUUGGAAAAGACCUCUGAGAUCAUUUAGGUCCAACCUAUGACCUAACACCACCAUGUCAACUAAACGAUGGCACUAAGUGCCAACUCCAGUCUUUUCUUGAACACCUCCAGGGACAGUGACUCCACCACCUCCCUGGUCUGCCCAUUCCACUGUCCUGUCACUCUUUCUGUGAAGAACUUCUUUCUAAUGU